AGCAGCCGCGGUAAUUCCAGCUCCAAUAGCGUAUAUUAAAGUUGUUGCAGUUAAAAGCUCGUAGUUGAAUUUCGGGAUCAAUUAGUCGGUCGUGCCUCUGGUACGUACUGGUUUUAUUGGUUCCUCCCUUCUGACGAAACAUGAUGUCAUUAAUUUGGUGUCGUGGAGAAUCAGGACUGUUACCUUGAAAAAUUGAGUGUUUAUAGCAGGCUAACGCUUGAAUACAUUAGCAUGGAAUAAUGAAAUAGGACGUUCGACCCUAUUUUGUUGGUUUCUAGGAUCGACGUAAUGAUUAAUAGGGAUAGUUGGGGGCAUUAGUAUUCAAUUGUCAGAGGUGAAAUUCUUGGAUUUAUUGAAGACUAACUACUGCGAAAGCAUUUGCCAAGGAUGUUUUCAUUAAUCAAGAACGAAAGUUAGGGAUCG
rnacentral:rRNA from 1 species